GAGACAACGGGGAUGUUGGCAUGGCUCAAUCAGAUAAAAUCUCCCAAAAGAAUUGGGUCCUUUAAUCUGAUUGAGCCGUGCCAGUAUCACGUUUCCAUUG
rfam:Cephalotus follicularis DNA, scaffold: scaffold485, isolate: St1.